GCCUUGCCGGCGUUGCCACCACUCAGUGCCCUUGCCGCAGUCGGAAGGAAUACCAGGGAAGAUUAAAAAAAAUUAGCCUGAAUUGGAACAACCAAAACUGAUAAACUGCACUUGGAUCCUUGCAGCUAAGACUCUAGUCCUUCCGGAGAAGCCCCACACCAAGAACCACUUGAAGCCGCCCUCACAUUCGCCGUUGCAAGAUGGCGCUGAC